rnacentral:tRNA from 1 species
GCCCGGGUGGUGAAAUUGGUAGACACAAGGGACUUAAAAUCCCUCGGACCUUAUCCGUCCGUGCCGGUUCGAUUCCGGCUCCGGGCACCA